UUUAGUCUCGCUCUCUUCUCUCUCUAACAUUCUUCAGAGAGGGAGACUUUAUCCUUAUUCUGCCGUUCGGACGUGGUCCGAUAUCGCCGUUAGUUUAGCCGUGACACGGCUUUCCGUUGCCGCGUUCUUUGUCGUCCGGUUUCAUGCCGGCUUAUGUACCAAAUCUCCGCGAUGGUCAGCUCUCGUCUAGCACCGCUUAGCUUCUUCAGCAACGGUGGCUAGCUCUUGCCCGGCACGACCGGCUAUUCUAGCGGUCAUGGCCGGUUUAUGUUCUUCUUUAAUUUCUGAAUUUUGUUUUAGUUUUGCUAAUAAUCUCAUCGGAUUUAUGUUGGGGGUAAUAAUCUGUCAUAUCCUCGAUGGUUCUUUUCCCUCUCUAUCCUUUGAGUUUUCAAGAUGGGUUUCGCCGGAUCGUUUUUUGAACUUAGGAUUUACAUAAUGGUUUCAAAGAAAUUUUUCUCUUUUGUUGAAGGAUUGAAGAUUCUUCCGUCGUUUAUCACGAUUCCUUAAGCCGUUAUCUUUAAUUUGGAGCUUUGAUGUUUUCAUUCUGGUGCAAAACACAAGAAUCAUCUCACCGGAAUCAGCUCAACGGCGAAGGUUGUUGCCGGAAAACUUUUGAUUAUUCAUCCAGCGUGUGACGUGGUAUAUCCCGGUUGUCGACAUGUGUUCAUGGAUGGAGUUCCGAUAGAAUUUCUUCUGCAGAAGGUUAUCUAAUGGGCCUUUUUUGGGCUUUAUGUAAUUCCAAAGUUGGAGCUUUUGUUUAAGCUCUUGUAUGAUAUGAUGAUGUUUAAUAAAACUUAUGAGACAAAAAAAAAAAAAAAUCAAAACCUUUAGAAGUUUUAUUUUUCAGAAUCUGAUUAAAGUAUAUUAUUGCUUAUCUAAUUCUGUGUUCCAACUUUAUUUUAGUAAGAGGUAUGAUUUCCUGCCAAAAAUAAUAAUUAAUAUUAGAAUCUGGUCUAAUCAUGCAUAUCUCUUUAUAGCUAGCUUCUGUUUUUAAAUCUUAAUUUUUUUGUCUAAAAUUUAAAUUAACAUUACUAAAAGGUAAAAACAAAGAGAUUAACUAGAUUUAAACUACCACACUCUAAAUUCUUAUGCAAAACGAAAUGCAUUCAUCCAUUUUUUCAUAUCUAAGGAAGAAAAAGGUGGAAGUGAUUGUUCCAUCAUCACUACCAGACGACGUCAUAGAGGAAAUCUUCAUAAGACUUCCAGUGAAAGAACUAAUCCGACUCAAGUUUUCUCUUCCACAAGAAUGGAGAUUGAGGAUCGAGUCUCAUGGUUUCGGCCCACGAUUCCACAUAUAUAACCCGAAACUGCACCCCAUGUUUAUCCUUUUCGUAAAAUACAUCUUCAAGUGUUUAUACAUUUACUCCAAGUCUGGUUUCAUUUUGUGUUUUACUAUUUUGCUUUAUCUUGGUUUACCUUUCCUAGUGCUUUUGGGUGUGAUGUUCUUACUAGGUUUUUAAAAUAGUCAUUUAUAAACAGAUGUCUCUUUCAGUGUUAAGAGAUGAGACCUAGUUUGAAUAGUGAAAAGAGAACAUGUUUGCUUGGAGAUUCUUGCUAGACUUUUGAACAAAUGUUUCUAUCGCUUCCGUGUCCAUCACAUUGUUGUUGAGCUCGUUCAGACACUGACAUUGGUUUUAGUCUUUUAGACAAUCUGUUUGGAAUCGACUUCUCUUCUCAAUCUAACUUUCUUUGCUGGCAUUUUACCAGCCAGGUUCACAUAUUUGGCAAAUGGUGGUCGAACUUGGAUUUACCUAAGUACAAUAUUCACAACACCAUUGGCUUCAAUUGGAGCUGCUGGCUCUAGAAGUCGAUCCCUUAGUCUUCCCGCCUAAGCUCUUUGAACUUGAAGUUCGAUCAUAUUCAUAUGCACCAUGUGAGCUCGCAUCCAAUAGCUCAUUCUCCACCGCUCGAUAUAGUUUUCCGUGUCACUGUUCAUUCAUAGUAAUAGUAGGUUAUUAGCUUCUUUCAUCACCCAGAGCCAACUAAUUCAAUGCAUAACCUUCUUAAGCAUCCUCAGUACUAAGUUUCAGAGUAUAACUUACUUUCCUUGAAACUACAAGACUCGAACCGGAUUCGUUACUUGAAUCUCUUUUUCUGGAUUUUGUAUAUUCUAGAAUAAUAAUAGAAAUCAGCAGGCGUUACAAAAAUUAGAUUGUCUGGACAAAAGAUUAGAAAAAAACUUACAGAAGUUUUACAAUUAUUUUGUAAGAACUUAUAUAUAACUCACCUCUCAUGUUUUCACUUUUUGGUCAUUGGCAAAUCAAUAAUAAUGGCCAAUCUAAUCCAAUUUAUUGGACCCGUUUAUUCUAAUACGAGAAACAUACAAAGUUACACGACACUUGAUCAUAAUUAUGACCAAAAGCGACGAAGCAUUACUAUUACAGUCUUUAAUGCCAGUUUCUGGCAUUUCACCGGCCAUGUUCACACAUUUGGCAAAUGGUGGUCGACCUUGGAUUUACGUAAGUGCAAUAUUCACAAGGCCAAUGGCUUGAAUCGGAGCUGCUGGCUUUAGAACUCGAUCCCUUAGUCUUCCCCCCUAAGCUCUUUGAACUUGAAGUUCGAUCAUAUGCAUCAUGCGAGUUCACAUCCGAUAGCCCAUUCUCCAGCGCUCUAACCAAGUUCUCAAAAUAGUUUUUGGUAACACUGUUCGUUUCCAGGUUAGAAAAUGUUAUUAGCCUCUUUCAUAAAACGCAGUGCCAACUAUGUGAACGAAAACUUCCUUAAUUUUCUCUAAAUUUUGUUACUCAGCACUAAAUUUCGGUUAGUGACUCAGUCGUAACUAAAUGUGCUUGAAACUGUUUCAGAACAGCUACUAAACAUACCAUGUCACUAAUUUGGAUUAUCAGUUUGUUAUGUAGGUUAUGAAAGUACCUUGUUAAACCUGCCAGUUUUGUGCGGAAUUCAUUAAAAUCUUCACUUGGACCUUUGGCAUCUAAGUAUGGUAGCAGCUCUUUUUCAGCACAUUGAUGAAGUCGUUCAAGGCCCGACUCAGCUUCGCCUAAAUUCAUGGUAAAAUAAGAAGAAGUAAUAUAAUAAAAAUUUUGCAUAAUAAAGCAUGUUACAAACAAAAGUCCUUAUACCUAUGAAGUAUGAACAAAUCGAAAUUAGUGGUCAAAGAUGGGAUUGAACCCUGACCAAAUUGGUUAAGAUUUGGAUUAAGGAGCUUGAUCAAAUUCUUAUGAGUGACGCUUGACUACAUAGUCCACAUGAUCUCACAUAGGGAAAAUCCUAAACCAUUCCCAAUUGUACUAAGACUACAUGGUGUUCUAUAAGAAUCACGACAAGAUCCAUCAAUGCACGUAUGAACUACUGAUGGAUCUAACCAUCACUAAGUACUCUCCCUCAAUAUAAUAUCCAACAAUUGGAAAAGACCAUAGAUUAAUGGUUGUUUAAUCUCUUAUUCUCAUCUUCAUGCAUAAACCUAUAUUUGGAAAUUUUAAAUGUGAGAGCUAAAUCAAGUUACCUUGCAAGUACUCAAAAAACACUCUUUUUCCAUGCUCCUGGUCAGGUAUGUAAAAACCAUAGGCAUAUGUCCAUUUUAGAACUCGUCUGCAUUCAACUAUCUAUGAUCGUAGAGAAAAUUAGUGAGCAAAAUCCAAAAGUCUCAGAAAGGCCAAGGGUGGAAUGGAUUUUACCUGUAACCAUGCUUCUAUAAUGAACUUCAGUUGUGAUUCAGGCUGACACUGUAUGUCACUGAGCUUCUCAAUCUGCGAAGUCCAUAGAACAAAAGCUUUAGUGAAACCCAACACUGUAAUAAGCAAGAAAAAUCAUCGAAAGUUGAGGUCUCAUGCCAAAAUAGAAAAAUCAAUAACCUAAGCAAACUUUUGAACUUUAAAUAGAUACAAAAUCUGGAAUCACGGAUUGAUAUUAAAAGAAGCAAUGAUUAUUUUAGAUAUUUCACACGUUUUUCACAUCAAGCAAUACUUGUGAUCCUUAUUUACAUCAGCAAGUGUUGCACUGUAAGCUCACAUCAUCUGUUUGCAUCUUCUUAAGAUCCAGCAGCGCCUUUUGCCUAGACUGCAGCAAGCAGUGAAAAAACUUGUAAAUUGUUUUGGAAUAAAUGCCAAUGUCCUUUAGUAUAUACAAAACUUAUUUUUCUUUGGGGUCAUUAUCUAACAAAGAAUACAAUUCCCCAAAAAAGAAACAUGAAACUUCAGGCAGAUGAUAUGAUAAGACAAAUCUCAAUGAUUAUGAUGAAUCUGCCUAAGCCUAAUUUCAUUGUGUUAUGCUUAAUAUACAUAGAAAUUUAUAAAAGUACUUUGCUCCAGCAGUUACACGACUAAUUAACUACCUGUUACUCCAAUAACAGAUUUGUCACAUUACCCAAGCCCCCAACGAACAUAGCCAAAAGAUAUAUAAAUGAGCUGGUAGAAUUCUCCUAACAAUAGUUCCUUCUCCGAAAAAUACAUAACAGACACUACAUGUACCUCAAAGUUUCAUAGUCUCUUUAGUUUUUCAAAUCAGUCAGCUUCACUUCCUAAUUUUUCAAACCUCUAUCUCUCAACCAAAAAUAAUGAUUUUCAUAUCUUGUGGUACUCUAACUCGAACAAUUAAAAAAAUACAAGCUUUAAAUUAGUCAUUAUUCAUCAAAAUAUGAAAUAGUUCAUCUAUUUUUCAAAGUACAUAAAGAGAUUUUCAUUUCCAUAGCAAAGGAAUAUGAAUUUGACGGCUGAAAAUUCUUUCUUAAAUUUCCCCUUCAAGAGGAGCUAAAUAAAACAUGUGAAUUCUAAAUGGAUAAAAAUUUACAUACCGAUUGAUUGGUUGCCCAUCUCUCAUAGUAGUGGGUAUAUCUCUCAAGAGAGUUCUUUGCCAUCUCUCGGCGUUUUUCAGUCUCAUCAUACUGCACAGAAAGAUUAUGAAAGACAAAAAAUAUGUUCAAAGAUAAAUAGACAUAUUAGUUGUUAGUCAGGAACAUAAACAAUGUACAGAACUCAUACAAUGCCAUCUUGCUUUGCUGCUUCAUAACGGUUACAAGCAUAAAAGCCACCUGUCUUCUCACCAUGCUCUGUCCACGCCCCAAGGCAAAGCCUACAUUUAAACAACACAACUAUUUAUAAUGAGAUUUCAUUGUGAGCAACCAAGAAUCUUACACAACCAGAUUCAUAUGACGAUCAGAUUACAAGAUACAGAAAACUACAGAAAGAAAAUACAAAGCAGAUUUUGUACACUGACAACACUUAAACUAAAAUAAUCUAUUUAUAUUAUAUUUCUUCAGAGUCCAUAAGAAUCCAAUUCAGAGUUAGAUUACAGGAAGUAUAGAGAGAAUAAAAGCAUAACUUCUGACAUUAUAGCAUUUUGUUUAAUCAACCACUUUAUCAACUUACCAGCAGAACUCAAAUUUACAUGGUGGGGUGCACGUAAUAUGCAUACAACCCUGGUUUUUCUCUAUUGGCCGUUUGCAUUUUGGACAGGGCUUGGAAUUUGCCAAAAUCCUGAAAUUCAAUAUGGAACUUAGCAGCAACAAAACAAAAUGUGAAGCAUGAUGCACCCUAAUGCUAGGAGAUGGAAGAGAAGAAACCGAAAAUGGUUUUCUUCUUAUAGUUAAAAAUGCAAACAUAUCCAACAUUUUGGCUUCCUUUGGCUAUACAAAAUGGUAGCCAUAACUACGAAUAUAUAAUACAAGAAAACAAUCUAUUUAUAAAGAACCCAAAUAUUUUAAAAAAUCUAAGCACCCUUUAAGGUCGAGCACAACAACAACAUAUCUCAACGAUAUCUCAUAAAUCAACGUACCAAUUCAUAUUCUCCGACUCAGCACUAUUCUUCAAUACCCACUUAGAAACAGUGUCACAAUCUACAGGACGGUGAGCUUCUUCAGCACACUGCAGACCCAUGACGAUAAAAGUGACAUGGUAUAGUUGUGUCAAUUAAAUUCUAAACAAUGGAAAGAUGAAACUAUUCUAACUCUAACUGAUAGCGUAACUUACAUUCCAGCAGAAACUGUAACAGCAGCGACAAUUCACAUCAUAAUUACCACUUCCAACAACAAAAUUUACAGCAUAGUCACAGCCAGGAGCGGGACACCACUUGGUCUACAACAUAAAAGAUGCAUUACUAUCUGGGUGAGCACAUAUAUGGACGGAUAGAGAACACUAAAAUUAUGCACUGAUUUCAUUUGAAGGUUAAUAUAACACAAAUAAAUAUCAUGCACACUAACGUACGAUCAUACUGAGUUUGCUAGCUUACCUUUCUAUUGUCUUCAACGUAUGAUCUGACAAAAUAACUAGUGUACUUUUGCUUAUCUUUAUCAGGAGCUAGCAAAUUGAUCAUAUCCUGACCAACAGCAGCUCUGCAAGAAGGAUCUGGACAUCGUAAUGUAAGACACCCUGGACCAUCAUUAAUCGCUGUGGUGAUAUAACCUAAAGAUGAGGGGAAAGGUCAGAUAGUUAACCCAACAAUAAUGAACCAUUAUUAAUUGUAAUGCUUAUAUGUUGCAAUACUUGCAAAUGAAGACUGAAAUGAAACAUAAGGUACAAGUUACUGAAAUCAAGCAAAAAAAAAAAAACAGUACAUUGCAAGUUAAAUCUAAACAUCACGUUUGGAAAUGGGUCUCAAUAUAUAAAACAAACCUUCCCAACAUGAGUCGCAGAAUGGAUGACCACAAGCAGCAGCAUGCAAUUUGUCAGAAAGGAAAGUCUCAAAACAAAUUCCACAAUCAAGCUGCCAAAAUGACACAGCUGAAUUCUAUUAGAUGAAUUUACAAUGUUAAUCGAAAUGAAAAUAUAAACAAUGGGAGACAUACUUCUCCAUCAGUUGGGAAAUCAACAACAGGUUUCUCUAAUAAACCAACAGCAUCUCGAACCUUUUCCUCAUCAGCAAACCAUUCAUCAUGAACUCUGCUCACACACCUAAAAACAUUUACACAAAUGAAAAGUUCCUCUAAGCACACACACACACACACACACACACACACAAUAGCUGUAAUAUCUGAAUAACAGAAUCUGGAAUCACACCAAUUGUAGUGACGAAGCAGGAUCGCAGAUGAAUUCCUCGAAAUGGACAAAACAGUAGAAAUCCUUGAAAUAUCAUCUUCUUGAAGCUUACAAAUAUCUGCUUCGCUUAACACACUAUAAUUUUGCUACAAACCAAAAACAAAUUCUUCAUUAGCCAUUGUGAUCUAUAAAAUUUUCUCAAAUCAUCAUUAACAUUACAAAAAGGUCCUGCGAUUAUUUCAGAAACCAAAACUUCAAUCUCUGUAUUGGAAACAACAUUAAUUUCAAUUUUGGUUAAGAUGUAGAUCCAGAAUAAUGGAGAAGAGAAACCUGGCGGCGACGGAAGAUAAGGUCAUCGGAAUCAUCAGCAGCGUCGUCAACGAACUCGUACUCGCCGUCGGCGUCAUCUUCGUCGGAGUCGGCGUAAUCGGAGUAGUUUUCGGUGCCGCUGUAGAAAUCGUCAUCAGCUUCCAUUGAGAUUCUCUUCUUCUCGAUUCGAUUUCGAUUUCAAACACAAAGCUUAAUUUUAGAUACUUUCUCUCUCUCUCGUAAGAAGACGUUUGGAAGGGAAAACGUUUUAAUCGAAAAAGGAAUAAUGGCAAAAUGGUAAAUUAAGCUUAGCCACUAAAUCCCCUUCCAAUUUUAUCCCAAGGCACGAUUAGAAGAAAUAUUUAAAACGUUUGUUUCAAAUUUUUUGGUGAUGAAGGCAAUAAUGUUUUAUCCAAUGAAUAUUUAGGAUAAAGUUGUAUAUAUGGCAACAACUAAUAAAAUUUGUUUUGCUAUCUCUCGACUUCUUCUCUUGAAAAUGUUUUUUUUUUUUCGAAAUGAAUUGUUUAGAUCGAUAACGGCUAAUUGUAAUUUCAUGUUCACAAAAACAAAAAGGAUGGAAAAUCAUAAGUAAUCCAAAAUGAACAUGCCGGUACAGCAAUAAGUAAAUAGUUCAUUAAUUUACGAGCUUGAUUAUGUAAUUUAGGUGAAACAGAAGCCAAACAAACAAAAAGUAUUCAAGAUAACGAGAUUCUAAAAUUUUGUAAGCAUCGACUUAAAAAGACUUUCCUGGAACGUUAAGAGUCGGGACAAGACAUAAACCGAUACUAAUACCGACAGGUUAAGACAAAAAUGCAGAGAAUCAAAGUAAAAGUAAAAGGCAUUUAGGGAGAAAGCUAAUUUACUACUAAUGUGUUUAUACUAUUAUGUCUUGCCUUUUGCCUUCGUAAUUUAAUUACCCAACCAACAUUUGUAGCCGAGGUUGUGUUUCUUCACCAUCCACCACCACCGCCAUCGCUCUUCCGGCUGCUGGGUUCAUUCCCCCAACCGCCCUCUCCAUCGCUCUUUUUACCACCAGACUCGCUUCCCCAACCGCCAUCUGCACUGCUCUUUUUACCACCAGACUCGUUUCCCCAAUCGCUUCCGCCACCGCCAGAACCACUUCCAAAACCGCCAUCCUCACUGCUCUUUUUACCGCCAGAAUCGUUUCCCCAACCUCCACUACCACCACCGCCAGACCCACUCCCCCAGCUGCCCGCACCGUCACUCUUAUUGCCACCAGACUCGCUUCCCCAACCACCAGUACUGCCACCACCAGUCUUUUUACCAGCAGACUCGCUUCCCCAACCACCGCCACCACUAUUUCCCCAACCUCCAUCUGCAGUUCCAGUAUCAUUAUUACCCCAAUCUCCGUUACCAUCUUGUCUAUCACUAUUCAUAUCAUCCCUCCGUCCUCUGCCUCGACCACGUCCACGGCCACCAUAUGGCCUAGGCGCUCCACUUGGAUGUCCAUCACGUCCACCACCAUUUCUGUACUCACCGCCUCUCCCUACAAUACAGUUGCACAGUUACUUAAGAGCGGACGUCCAGAAGUAUAGUCAAGGAGACAACAUAAAUAAUGUUAAUAUAUAAAUACUUCUCGGCAUCUAAAAUCCAGAUUACCAGAAGUUAAAUUAAAACAUAACCCCGAGAAGUAGAACAAUGACCACACAAGCUUUUCUAUGCAAGUUAAAAAAACAAAUUUAAAAUGCAUUACCUGAGCCUGAACGAUCCGAGUUACCUUUCCAGCCUCCUUCACUCUGAGAACUACCCCAACCACUUCCUCCAGAUGAUCCAUGGUCUGCUGGGCUUCUCAUCGGUACCUUGGCAGCAAUAGACCUGAUUGAUGGCGCCGAUUCUUGCAAUGGGUCAUCAAUAUGCCUCUGGAAGUAUGCCACAAGCCGAUCAAUGUCCUCAAACAUCCUUUUCCUGAACUUAAAUCCCUUGGGAUAUAAACCUAUAUACUCAUGAUGUGGGUUUGUGCUCCUUAUGUAAGACAGAAUAAAAGUGCCUGGAUGUUCGUGUGAAAUCCCAAAACAAUAAACUAUUCUUGAAGGAUUUUCGCCCUUCUCGAUCCUAAGAAGAUCAUCUACUUCUGAUUUGGUCCCCUUACGGAAUUUCCGAUAGUUGAGCAUUGUCUUAAGAUGAGAUACCAAAGGAUCAACAUAUCGAUCCAUGACCUGCAGUUAUGAGAUGGUGUGGUUAACAUCAAUUACUGACGCAACAAAUUAGAUCCAAAAAAGGCUUACAAAAGUCGGAGGAAUGUUAAAAAGCUGACGGAUGUUCAAGAAUCAACUAAAUGUGUUCACUGACAACACCAUUACAUUAAAUAUACCUCAUCUAGAUCCUCGAAGGUGUCCUCUCCAAUUGUCAGGGUCUUCCCAAUACACUGUAGGCUUGUAAUGUCCUUGUUUUCUUUCCCACCUUCAGCUAUCUCCUUGUGAGCGUAAACUCCAUCAUAAAUCUUGAGGGUCAAAGUUAAAAAGUUGAGUCCUCGAGAACUUGGACGAACAAUGCUUUCUCCAAAGUCUUUGUCAGACAAAUACUGUACACAGCACCAACAAGGAAACUCAGAGACAGAGACUUCUUUGAAUAUAUAACAAAUGCAUUCAAAACUCAAUAUAAGUACCAAAGAAGAGUAAAUGUUUGGCAUACCUCUGUUGCUUGGUCAGCUGUGAUAUUCUGAAAGCGGGGAUGGACAAUCAUCCGAGACUUAAAAUGCUUCCUCACCAGCUCUUUUUCCUUUCGAGCCUUCUCUUUUACAAGCUGGAGACUGUUUCUAUCCUCAUGGUAAUAUGCAUCCACAUUCUGGUUAUGCUGGUGUCUGUUGUUUCUCAUUUCACUUUCUUUGCAAAUAAGGAACACUUGAUACCUCUGCUUUUGAAUCGAUUUGAUCUUGCAUGUGAGGAUAUCGCCUUCUUUCAGCUGGUCCGCCAAGUCAACAAUAUCUCUCCCAUCAUCUGAGAAAUCUUCCUUCAUAAGCAUCCCAGUUAACCCAGAAUCUAAUACACAUAUGGCUCUUCCAUUCUGCAAUCUCCGAACACUGGCCUGGACAAUUCUGCCCUCCGCUAUGGUGUCCUCAGUUUCACCUGAAAUCAUGUAAAAUUCUUCAUCUGGACUUGGCUCUUUAAAUGGUAUCCGCCAAUCCUGGAAACCACAACUUAAUUCUCUUAUGAUAUUGCUAUAAGUUUCCUUCUUAUUCUCCCGUUUCUUGCUGGCAAGAUAUUCAUCAAGGACAACUUUUCUCAAAGAAGCUGGCCGAUCUCUCACAUGCUCAAUAGCCAUUUCUAUCGCAUCCUCAUCAUCAUUUGAAUCACCUCUGACAUCCUCAUCAUAUAUAUCUUUCGCCAAUUCUUGAGCAAGACUAUACGACUCUGGAUGGAUUCUGGUGUCAUCCAAUAAGUCAAUAAAUUGACUGCUACUAGCAGCCAGCCCACUUCUGCGGAUGCGCAAGAAACCGGCAGCAUUUACAAAAACCUUUUUACCAAGUCCAUGCAUUAUCAGGUCCUUGCGGACAAAGAUUGAACCAGCUCUUACAAGCGACCUCUGCAAGGAUGCAGCUUUCCGAGGCCCAAGUCCAGAAAUGAACUGUAAAGGAGAAAAGAACCAAUCAUGGCUAGCUGCCAAGUUAAUAUCGAUUCCAACCUGGUUUGUAAUGUCAACCAUAACCUGCUCAACCAUUCCAUACUUCUCAUCUAGCUGAAGAAAAUUCUCCAAGGGAUGAAGCUUCCAAGACAAAAUUUCCCGACCUGGACCGCAUAAAGUUGCCACCAUUGCUAGUGGAUUCUGGAGAUAGCGUCCAAGAGCAACUGCACGUCUCACGUUCCCUGACUGCUGAGGUAGCUGUUCACCCGAGAUUCGAGAAUUUUCAUAUAGCCUAGGAAGUGAUUCAUCCACAUAAACAAUGCUUAAAUCAUCCAUCCCAUGUCCGACAUCUCUAGGUUUUUCCUCCACCAUCUGGAAUAUGACCUGAUAUAUAGAAUAAAGCAUAACAAAAUUUUACUAUUCAAGAGGAGUAGUUAUGAAAAUUGAAACACAGCGAUUAAGUUUUCACAAAGUGAUAUAAAAGCAGAAACUUAAGCUUAUUUCAUCAGAUAUAUAACAUUAUCAUUUUCGGUAAAGCAGUUGAAGUCUAAAAAGGUAUAGCGAGUUUGAAAGUAUUGAUGAAAAACACACAAAAUCCAGGUCUCUACAAAGUAGGCACUGAGGAACUAAUUAAGUAAACCAGUGACCACAGUUAUCCAGAACCAUAUGGAUAUAGGUCCUUUAUCUCAAGAUCAAACUCGGAACAUGUACAUUGCAAUAGCAUAAGUCAACGAACAUAGUGUCAUUAUGGUAUAUGAAGUCUUACCUCAUAAAUAUCAUCCUUCAGACGAGUACAAGACAAAUUGACAGCUCCUAAAGCCACAACAUGCGGUUGGUGGUCCAUCAUAAACUUUAAAACACGAUCCUGGUCACUCUUUUUACGUUGCUGGUCGUUAACAUUUUGAGAUCGCGAUGUAAGGGAUCCAGCAUAAAGCACGUCAAGCACCUCACCUGAUGAGUCCAGCAUCACAAAUGUAUUUGGUGGCUUCCCAGGUCCCCAACAACAUGCCAUGACCCUCGGUGCAGCUUCCUCAUCUAAAUUAAUGUCCAUUUCUUUCUUUUGGUAUGGCCCUGCAGACACCUUGUUCCACAAAGCCUGUCCAUACUCUGAAAGCAACCGACUCUUCGCUCUGCUAGUUAGCAAGGAUCUUGCUUCUUUCUCCAUUGAUGGCAAAAGAAAAGCAUGAAGUGCAUCCUCCAAUAUCAACUUUCUUUGCUCAUUCCAGAGUUGAGCAUACUUACUAACACCAACACUUAGAUAGUGUUCAUUGCAGUCGCUAAUUAGCCUAUUCAUGUAAUUCUCAGGCAGCUUGAAGGUUACUUGAAGAAGUUUCUCCUCUUCUCCCUUCUGAAUGAGAAGCCAUUGUGCACCCUCAAACUUGCUCAAUGGCUUUUCACGCAACCACUUAAUCCCAGAAAACUGAUGGAACGAAUCAAUUACUGUAUUUCCAUCUGCUGUUGGACUUGUUGAGACCACUGCAUUCUCCAUAUAAAUGCCACGGACAUACUUUUUGACUGAUGGCUCGCAACUUAUCUCAACUGCAGCCUAACAAGGAAAAAUGGGAUAUCUCCGCAUUAGUGAUUAGGGAAGUCCUUCUGAUAUUAAACCCAGCUAAGCAAUUCAAAAAAUAGUAUUAUUGCAGAGUAUAUACCAUAUGCCGUGCACCUUUCAGAACUGCCAGAGAAUUUUCAAACAUUGCGCACACAAAGUUUUUAGCCAUCUCCUCUGGUGUUUCCUUUGCAUCCUCAAGCUCAUCAACCUGCAACUCAUUUAGCGUCAGAACUGCCAUUCCAGUACAACAUGCAAAUCAAACAAUAUAAAAGCAUACCGACCAGUUUUUCUAGGGACAAUGCAAGUCCCAGUUGCUCAGCACUAUACCCAAAUUUGUUUGCAACCUCCCAGAGCCCUGCUUUACUGCAGAUGCUAUAUUGUGAUUUCCUUUUCGGCCUCUUAUACUGCCCUUCAUCAACACCAAUUUCACCGGGAGGAAAAUGCAAGUUGAACUUGGAAUCUACAUCAUCAACUUCUCUUUCUGUUUCUGCAACUUUAAGAGACUUAAUGACUGAUUCAAAAAGAUACUGAUUUAGAUUAAGUCUUGUUUCAUCAUAGACCCUCCUAGACUCUUCUUCGUAACGUUUUGUAUAGUAACCAUGCAACGCCAUUUUCCUUUUUCGAAGAAGGAGCCACUUCUUAUCCAAGUCAUGAAUCAUCCAGAAGACCUGCAUUGGAAAAUAGUAUAGAAUCCACCAAAUUUCCUCUGACAAUAAAUGUUAACCUGAGCACUUGUUGUUUAUCCAAGAUAAUUGCUUACCUUAUGCCACUUGGUCUCAGGUUUCUUGCCUUGAUUGGCGCCAUCAAAAUCACCAGUGUCCAACAAGCUCCGGCAUUGCUCCUUUCGGUACAUAGCUAUAAACGGUAUCUAGAAGAGACAGAAAACAUUAGCAAGCUAAUCAAUGAAUCAAAGAAAAUCCAACGAGAGAAUGAAUCCAAAACCUCUAAUUUCUGCACAUGAUGUAGCUCCAAAAAUUUUGCGAUGUCAUCCUUAUUAACCGAGAAACCCCGCCCAUCAAAAGUUCCAUCAGAUUCUCUAAGUUGGGAAGCAAGUUGAGCAUAUAUCCAAUUGCUUUCUUCUUCAAUGCUAAUUUCAUCUACAGGAGGGCUUCCGGUGCUUUCUUCAGAUAUCUGUCAAAGUUUACAAGAUAUCUUUACAUCUAUCCUUGAACACCAAAGAAAACAUAGACCACAAGUAUACAUAGAGAAAACUAAAGAAGAUAAUGCACCUGCAUUCUCUCAGGAAUAUCAAGCUGGCGGAUUUCAUCAUCAUUCCCUGUCAUAUAUUUCUCAGAAAGAACAGUUGGUUCAAACUCAUCUUCGAGCCUUCUUUCCAUCCUUUGAUUAGAUGCCAAACCCUUUUUGCGAAUUGUUAAUAAUUCGUCAACAUCACCAAAUAUUUCAUUAGCAUCUCGCAUAGCAGUAAUAUCUGAUCCCUGCCUAUAUUUCUUUUUCUUCGAGUUGCCCCUGAAAAGUAAGUUGAUUAGAAUCAGAAAAUGUACAUGACAUAAGUGAUAUGUUAGGGCACAAAAAAGACAGAAAAAAAAUACCUCUUAGGAGGACCAUGCUCAUCAUCUUCAUCUACAAUAAAAUCUGCCAUUUCAUCCUCGCUCCCAACUACAUCUUCUUCCACAACUAAGUCUUCCUCAUCACCUACAUCAUCAGGUGGAUCUAGUAGACACAAAAUGUACAUAGUCAACUAUGUGCCAACAGUCAACAUAAUAGUAUCAGAAGGCACAGAGAACCUACCAUCAACAUCAACAUCAUCAAACAGCCUGUCUUUGAUCUUAUCCUCAGCACUUCUCCUAGUUCCACCUCUACUAUCAAACUCAUCAUCGGAUGAUUCUCCCUGGCCAUUUCCCUGUUCCCUUUGAGCUUUCUUCAACCGCUUAUACUGCCUCUGUCAUGGUUCAAGAAAAAAGUCAAAUGUAUUAGUACUGCACAUAUAUUUUUAGUGUAUCUACAAAAUCCUGAUGUAUUGUUAUAUACACAAAUAUGACUAACCUUUUUGAAUUUGACGUUGUUAUCUUGUAGAAGCAAAUAAUCAUCUUCAUCAAGACCUUCGUCCCUAUUAAAAUUAUCAUAAAUGGAAGGUUAGUCAGAAAGAGAACAGACCUGCUAUAGUUCGUCUAAUGGUAACUUACAUACUCAUCACAAACAAUGUAUGAAAAUCACAAAUAAAGACUGCUGAGAAUUAAGGGAACAUUUCUUCAAAAGUAUCAUGCAUGUCAACACUAACAUUUAGUUUUUCAUAUGUUAGAAAAGGAUAAAAUCUAAGAGAAUGAGUAAGGAUAUAAAAUAUUCACUUUUUCUUUCGUUUCUUCUUCUUUUUCUGCCUCUCCUCAUCGCUAUCUUUCCUUUCUUCGUCUUCUUCCUCUUCUUCCUCUUCGUCUUCAUCAUUCACUAUGAACCCAUCAUUCUCAUACUCAUUCCCAACUACAAAACAGAUAUACGGAUCCCACAUCAUGGAACAAAAAUAGCCUGAAUCUAAGUUAAAAAGCCUAGAAAGAAAAAGAAAAAAAAAUACUCAAACCCAAGGUGAGAGAAAUGUGUGCAGCUCAAAACUUGCAGAAACCAUGAAGUCUAAAAAGGAACAAAUCAAGCAACCGUAUGAAACAGAGAAUAUAGAAACAAGAAGUGGUAGAAGGAGAGACUUUGCAGCAGAUAAGUAAACAUCUAAGAAACAAGAUGCAUUCACUUUUUUUUUUUUUUUGGUUGCCAAAUCCAGACACUGCAUCUUCUAAUGGAGCAAAUGCAGCAGAAUUUCUCCAAAUGAAUCGAUUUUAAGACAAAGAACUGCAUGCGCUUCAGUACUAAACCAAACCAUACCACUAAUUUCCUUCGAUGCAAUCAGACUCUACAGCUUCCAGAUUUAGGGUGGUAAGCAAAAAGAAACGAAAGACGACACAUUUCUCACUGGGAGAAGUCAAAAUCAAGGAAAAAACUUAUACCGUCAUCAUCAUCUUCUUCAUCAUCGUUUUCAUCAUGCUCAGCUGGAUCUCCAUGAACUGGCUCUCCGUCGUCAUCCUCAAGCUCAUGAUCCUCUACGCAAAAGAGAAAAGGAUUCAAUUUUUUCAUACAAAUCAGAAGAAAUAAACAAAACCCUAGUAUUAUUACGGCGUUUCACACAGAAAAAAAUUAGGGUUUGCGACGAAGCGAUUAAGGUACCUUCAUCGUCAGAGAUUGCGUUCCUCGCCAUGUUUAUCUCAACAAAUUAGAAGUACGAUAACGCAGAAAUUAGCCCUGCAAACUGCAAAAAAAAACGAAGAGAUUGUGAUUAUGAUUUCUGAUUUUGCGAAGAGAAAGGGGGAAGAAGGUUCUCGCGAUUACUAGGGUUCUUCGAAAAGAGAACCCAGAAGGAGCUAGAGAAGAGAAAUGGGUUUGGUAAAGGAAGAAGCUUUACCAGUGUGAAUUUUUCAUAAGCGAAAGGCGACGAAGAACUGAUAAACGAAGAAGAAGACGGAGACGAUGAAAUUACAAGUUUAUACUGACAGAUUUGCCUCAAUUUUUUCUCUGCGUUUUAGAAAUAUUUUUUUUUUAAUAAUGUUUUUAAAAAUUAUUAUACUUUUUGAAGAAAUGUAAAGAAAAAAAAGUCGAGACUAAAAACAAAACAAAGUUUAUUCAACUUAUCUUAUAAUUAGAGUGGAGAAUAUUUAAUUCGAUAAUUCGAAAUAUAAGAAAAUAGACAUACAUUAAUAAUUAAUAAAAAAACGUUACAUCGGCUAAAAUGUUUAAACAAUUAUUUAAAUUUAUAUGAUAAAUAAAAUUAAAAUAAAUCUAAAUCGGAUUCAAAUUUAAAAGUUUGUCUAUAGAUUAAUUUAAUUUUUAGUUAAACAAUUUAAUUUUAUCAAAAAUAUAAAAUUUUAAACUGUGAAAAAGUUUUAAAUCUUAUAAUUGAUAUAUUUAAAAUUAAAUAACAAGUUGAUAAUAAUAUAAACAUUUGGACAUAUAUAAAAAUAAAUAUAACACUAGACAAAUUAUAUUGUAGGACAAAUUUUACACAUGAGGCCCUAAAAACUUUUUAUAUUAGGUGGCCUAAAACAAAUGUUUCGGCUUUUUUAUGAACGGGCCGGGCUUGGAUUCGGCCAUAUUUUGAGUUCAUGCCUUUUAAUAUGGCAAGAAAAAGGUUAGAAACUAGACUAAUUGUAGAUUGUAAGUUUGUAACCGUAAUGAGAUACUGCAAAUGGGUAAAAAUCGUAUUAUUCCAUAAACCACAAAUGGAGAAGUCAAAGUUUGGCAAAUAUCACAACAAAAAGGUUGAUAUAUCACAUGCAUAUUAUGUAGCUACACCGACAUAUCAAAGUUCUCCUAUCAAAUUUUAAAAAACAUAAAUCACCAACCCUACUCACACCCACCAAUGCAGCCCAUCAUUCUUCCCAAAUCUAUAAACACAACACAAUAAUACAACAGUGACAAUUUUAGCUUUUAAAGAAUAACGUUUUCAUGUGACUGGAUAAAAACGACGUCUACGUAGCACGAAACUGCUUUGUUUGUUCUUGUAACGAUCCGUACCAUAUCUUUUUUUAUUAAAAAGUCACAUUUAUUAUGGGAUCAAUAAUUUACUCUCCAUGGAUUAUUUCAUACUAUAAUGUACACGUACAUUAUCAUAAAGCCAAGAUAAAAUUAAAAACGCCUUUUACUACGUGUUAGUCUAUAUAAUAUAGAUUAAGUCUGAAACCCAAAUCACAAACUUCACUCAAAACCUAAUUAACUUAGAGAGAAAGAGAGAGAGAGAAGGGUUGCAAAAUGGGUUCUUCGUACCAAGAAUCUCCACCGUUGCUUCUUGAAGAUCUUAAGGUUACGAUCAAAGAAUCAACACUCAUUUUCCCAUCUGAAGAAACCAGCGAGAGAAAAUCCAUGUUCUUAUCCAACGUCGACCAAAUUCUCAACUUUGACGUUCAAACAGUUCAUUUCUUCCGACCUAACAAGGAGUUUCCACCGGAGAUGGUCUCGGAGAAGCUGAGAAAGGCGUUGGUGAAACUCAUGGACGCUUAUGAGUUCUUGGCCGGGAGACUCCGCGUGGAUCCUAGCUCUGGACGGCUUGAUGUUGACUGUAACGGUGCUGGAGCUGGCUUUGUGACGGCGGCGAGUGACUACACGUUGGAGGAACUUGGAGAUUUGGUUUAUCCAAAUCCAGCUUUUGCUCAAUUGGUUACAAGUCAGCUUCAGAGUUUGCCCAAAGAUGAUCAACCCUUGUUUGUCUUUCAGGUAACCAAUAAAUAAACCUUUGCUUUCUAAUUUUUUUUGUUCCAAAAUGAUCCUAAAUCUAGUUAACAAAUAACAAGUUUUUUUUUUGUUCUCUUUGCGUUUUGUCUUUUAAUCAGGAAGAAAGAAAAAAAAAAUCAAAAGUUUUGAGUGUAUAAACACAAAGAAGCUUCCUUAGAAUCAAAAAAAUUUCGAACAUGUUCACAAUAAAUUUUGUGAACUUUUAGCUAUUUUGCAACCUCGAGGGAGGGAUCUCAAGGAUCUAAGUACCAUCAUGAUAUUUAUAGAAAUCUAGUUUAUAUAGGUCAUUAGUCGAGGACCAUGUGGGUAAAAUAGAAUAAAAACUUGUUUCUUCUAUAGAGUCCAAGUAUUAAUCGGAGUUUUGUGUGAGAUCCUCCGUAUUCAAAAUAUAAAUGUUUAAGAAAGUUGCACCAUGUAUGUCAAAAGUAUAACUCUACAAAUCUUAUGUUUUAUAGUAGAAAAGUAAGUCUAUGAAUAAGUUAAUUAGUGAAGAAAAUUAUUAGAAAUAAAUAAUAAUAGUAUAAUUUAGUUUUUUUUAAAAAUUAUUUACUAAUUUAGUUAACUGAAGAAAUAUUCUAUGAAAUACAGAAUUCGGGUCAAGCCUCGGCAUUAUGGAGUUUUAUUUCUAUUUGAUUAUAACACACCACAAACGAAAACGUUAAUAUAUUUGGGAUAUUGACUCAAGUAAAACAUUCUUAUGAAAUCUUUAAGUAAAUCACCCACCCUACUCAGACUAUAAUUCAUCAUGUAUUUCAAGUAUAACGAAACAUGUAAUCACAAAGUAACAUGUGACAUAUAUAUAUAUAUAUAUAUAUAUAUAUAUAUUUUCAUAUAUUUGACAUAUAUAUACUCGGACACGUUCCAGUUUCGCCUGCAGAUAUAAUAUGCCAAAUAAGUGUGAAAAUCUUCCAAUGCACAAUAUAAUACUGACACACAUAUUUGCUUGUCAAUUUUAUUUCUUAAUUAUAUAAAUACUAAACAUACGUUUUCAAUCUACAUAUAGCAUUGUCAAAUUAUCAAACUAUCGAAGCAAGUGAAAAAUGUUCAUUACCAAAUGUCGUUAGCUCAAUUGGUAAAUACUCUAGGCAAAUUUUAGAGGUCGCCGGUUCGAGUGACGCUUGAGACGAAACUAAUAUUACAUGCUGCGGUUUUUGGUUUGGGGGAUUACGGACUUCGGUCCAGUACCUUCUAGCAUUAAAAAAAAAAGAAAAAAAAAAUGUUCAUUAUUUCAAAACAAAAAAUUAAUCUAGUUUAUUUUUUUUAUUGACAUCAAAAUUUGACUACAGUUAGUUGUUAUAAAUUAAACAUUAUUAUAUAUGAUUGUAACAUAAAUCUACUUGUUACGCGUAAAAUUAAAACGCUGGUUUUCUUUGUUGCUCAUUUAUUGAAUCCUACCAAACAUAUAGCAAUCUAAAUUAAUGUGACAUAACUGUCUGUUAUAUACUGCCAAAUCAUGUAAUCAUUUUGUAAAGAAAAUUAUAUAAACCAUAUACAUAUUACUUGAUAGUUAAUGAACGUAUAAAGUAGGAUUUCAUAAUGCAACGUCUAAUAGCUAGAACAUAAGUGAUUCAAAAUAAGUUUUCUCAAGUUUGGCGCAUGUAGUUGAGUUUCAUGGAGAUGUAUGUACUUUAAAUUUUUAAAUUUUGGCAGAUAACAUCAUUCAAGUGCGGUGGAUUUGCAAUGGGAAUCUCAACAAACCAUACCACGUUCGAUGGACUUAGUUUCAAAACAUUCCUCGAAAACUUAGCUUCUCUACUUCACGAGAAGCCCUUAUCAACACCUCCAUGCAACGACCGUACUCUUCUCAAAGCUCGUGAUCCACCAAGUGUUGCAUUCCCACACCACGAGCUUGUCAAGUUCCAAGACUGUGAGACAACAACAGUCUUCGAAGCUACUUCAGAGCACUUAGACUUCAAGAUCUUCAAGCUAUCCUCUGAACAAAUCAAGAAGCUCAAGGAGAGAGCCUCAGAGACUAGUAACGGUAAUGUUCGCGUGACGGGUUUCAACGUUGUAACCGCUUUGGUCUGGAGGUGCAAGGCACUCUCUGUAGCAGCAGAGGAAGGAGAAGAAACCAAUCUUGAAAGAGAAUCAACGAUUCUUUAUGCUGUGGACAUUAGAGGGAGGCUGAAUCCUGAGCUUCCACCGUCUUACACUGGAAACGCGGUUUUAACGGCAUACGCAAAGGAGAAAUGCAAGGCAUUGCUUGAAGAGCCGUUUGGGAGGAUUGUAGAAAUGGUAGGAGAAGGGUCAAAGAGGAUAACGGAUGAGUAUGCGCGGUCUGCUAUAGAUUGGGGAGAGUUAUACAAAGGGUUUCCCCAUGGGGAAGUUUUGGUUUCUUCUUGGUGGAAACUCGGAUUCGCAGAGGUUGAGUAUCCUUGGGGAAAGCCUAAGUAUAGCUGUCCCGUUGUCUAUCAUCGAAAAGACAUUGUUUUGCUGUUUCCGGACAUCGAUGGAGAUAGUAAAGGUGUUUAUGUCUUGGCUGCUUUGCCUUCUAAGGAGAUGUCCAAGUUUCAGCACUGGUUUGAAGACACUCUGUGCUGAUUUCGUGAUGGCUUCACUUUGCAUUGCUAUUGCUUUAUUUUACUUCUUUGACGAUUAUAAACACAUUAUGGUAUUUUAUAUUUGUAUACGGUUGAAAAGUGAACGUUAUAAAACAUCUAUUUUCUGCUACUUUCUCUAAGUAUAAACAAGCACAAAAGAUUUAAAGGUGAUUUGAUAUGGAAGUACGUAAAGGAAAUUUAUAGAGACUUUUGAGUACUGAAUAAAAACAUUUCUUCUUAACCAUUUAUCAUUCCCUCACCUAAAACGCUUUUACCGAUCUUAUAUAAACAUCAUACAUUUGUAUCCACAAGAAACCGAAAAAAGGAUGUAACCAAAAAAAAAAGAUGGAAAUUAUGAGUCUUAAUUAAACUCGCGCGUUUUCCAAUCUCUCUGCCUCUAUGGACUCCAAAUUUUGUUAAAGAUAAUAAGUAGCAAUAUAUAUUAAGAGAAAUGUUAUUUGUUUGGAGAUCUUAACAUGUAAUCUAGCUUAUUAGUAAAUAAUCUCAUUCUCAUUAAUUUGGUAAAAGUUACAAUUGGGGGUUUAUAUACAAUUGACCAGGCCUAAACCAGAGCCUCUUAACCAGCUAAACCAACCUAUACAGACUCCAGUUAAAACUAUACAAAACCAGAAUAUUUACAAUGAACUCUAUAUACAUAAUAUAGCUUUGUAGACAGAUUGAUUUCGAAGUCGUGAGAAAACUUGCGAAGAAGAAAAGAUGGAGGAGGCUGAGACCGCGAGGAAGAAGAAGUGAAAACGAUUUAAACGGUGUCGUAUUAUAAAAUAAGGGUUUAUGAUUACUCCCAAGUUUUAAAGCCUUUUUAACAGAACAAAACAUCUCGCUAUUUCAUGUUGCUUCUUAAUACUUAAACCAUUUUAUCAUUUCCCUCAUCUCAAACAUUUUUACCGAUAUUGAGCAUUAUACAUAUCCACAAGAAGCAAACAAAAAGGAUUUAGCCAAGUUGAGGGAUGGAUGUAACCAAAAAAAUAAAGAUGGAAACUGUGAGUAGACUUAAGCAUUUUCGUUUUCCAAUCUCUCUGCUGCGUCUUCAACUGCAGGUUGUGGUUUUGUGGAUGGAGGUAAACAACGUUUUGAGAAGAAUGUAGAUAUCGUUUUCGGUAAUCUCUUACCGCCUUUAUCUGGUGACGGUGAUAAUCCAAGCUUUGUCAAUACUUCUUUCUUUACCUGCUCGUUAGAACAAAGGAUCGCGGGAAUGGUGAUAAGCAACUAUGUCUCAAGGCAAAAAACUCAAAAUAGAAGAUCGAAGUAUUAACUAACCUGCCAACGACUAUCCUCGAAAUCUGAUAUUUCACGCACUUUUUGUCUAAGCUUGGUCUUUGGAACAUCAGGGAACUUCUGCUGUAAUGUUUCAACUACCCUAUUGAUACCUUGAGAGCAUGAUUGAAUAGUUGAUACCUGGACGCCAAAUUCUUGUUAGGGCUAAGUAGCAAUACAUAAACAAUGUUAUUUGUUUGGAGAGAUCCACUUACAACUGUAAGCAAAUCUGAGUCUGGUAUGAUUUUUGCUUUUGAAUUAGAUGGAGGAGUGCUCUGGCUACAAGAAAACUUGCUGGCUUCUUGAUCUUCAUCUUGAAUGUCGUUGAUCGAUAUCUCAAUGAGAGAAGACCAAGGGAAUUGUCGCACCAUGAGAGCUCGCAGACAUAUUUGUUCUACUUUUUGUGUCCCUUCUAGAUCUUUAGCAGCUAAGAGAGAGACCUUCUCAUGAGUUAGGUUACAUAUGAUCAGUGGCUGCGUUUUCUUCAGAGCAUGGUCAGUUAAAUUUUGCAGAUGUUUUUGUUGUUGGAGUAAUGCGCAAAACUCUGGACUUUCUUGAUCUUGCUUAGAUGAUGUCGUAUUUGCAUCCUGUUCAGACGGAUCAAUGUCCAUUCUGUCCACUUGGACCCCCUGAAACAAACAACACACUUUGUUAAGAAACUUUACAUUCGUUAUAGCGUAGCUGCCUUUAGUUAACUAUCCCCUUCACAAAAUUGGCACAUGCUCAAAGAAAAUGAGUGAUCAAUUAUAAGAAUGAAUGAGGAAUUCAAGUUGUAACUUGAUCAAUAGUUUGGAUACUACAAAGAAAUGCAAAUUUGACUUCAGCAGAUUCCUAGAUUGCAACCUAGAUUUAUAAGAAUCUAUGACGAGUUCAUUAAAAAUUGCUUUUGUUACCUCAUCUUCUGAGAGAUAUCCAUCAGGCACCAUAAAGUCAUCUUCACUAUCAUCUUCAUCAUCAGCCUUUGAACAUCCUUCUUCCAAACUUUCGUCUUCAUCUUUCUCACAAUCUGAAAGGCUUUCACCAGCUUCUUCCUGUAAAGAAGUAUCUUUAUUACCCAGUGAUCUUUUGUCAAGUUUAAAAAGCAUGUACUGAAUUCAAUAAACCUACCUCUUCCCAUUCUUCAUCACUAUCAACUUCAUAAUCCAAUUCUGGAUCCUUUUGCAGAGGACGACGUGGCUUUACAACUUGACUGCAAAUGUUAAACAACAGAUCCCUCAGUACCAUUGUAAGCAAACUUAGAGAGUGAACACUACUUAAUUGAACAGCUAGAUGCAUAUCAGAAUAACAAAUGGUAUUGUCGUAUCAGAAUCACAGAGAACGUUCUGUACAUUACAAGUUCACUACAAUGAUUGUUCAAUCCAAAUUGAAAUGCAUUGGACGAUAAUAACCACAGAUCCAACAUAGACGAUGGUUAGUUAAUUAAGGAAUCAGAACAGGGUAAAGUAGCGUAAAAGUAUGUUUACUUCAUAGGUCAUUUAUCAUCUGCUUUAUUAAACACCAUGAAAAAAGUAGUCACAUAGGCAGCAUCGGAAAACUUUAUGACUUAUGCAGUGAAAAUUGAAAAAUGUUUCGCAACAAAGCUAAUAUCAAAAAACAGUACCAAACAAACCCAGGGGAAAGCU
rnacentral:lncRNA from 1 species